rnacentral:rRNA from 1 species
CAUAGGUUAAUGAGGCGAACCGGGGGAACUGAAACAUCUAAGUACCCCGAGGAAAAGAAAUCAACCGAGAUUCCCCCAGUAGCGGCGAGCGAACGGGGAGCAGCCCAGAGUCUGAAUCAGUGUGUGUGUUAGUGGAAGCGUCUGGAAAGGCGCGCGAUACAGGGUGACAGCCCCGUACACAAAAAUGCACAUGCUGUGAGCUCGAUGAGUAGGGCGGGACACGUGGUAUCCUGUCUGAAUAUGGGGGGACCAUCCUCCAAGGCUAAAUACUCCUGACUGACCGAUAGUGAACCAGUACCGUGAGGGAAAGGCGAAAAGAACCCCGGCGAGGGGAGUGAAAAAGAACCUGAAACCGUGUACGUACAAGCAGUGGGAGCCUCUUUUAUGGGGUGACUGCGUACCUUUUGUAUAAUGGGUCAGCGACUUAUAUUCUGUAGCAAGGUUAACCGAAUAGGGGAGCCGAAGGGAAACCGAGUCUUAACUGGGCGUUAAGUUGCAGGGUAUAGACCCGAAACCCGGUGAUCUAGCCAUGGGCAGGUUGAAGGUUGGGUAACACUAACUGGAGGACCGAACCGACUAAUGUUGAAAAAUUAGCGGAUGACUUGUGGCUGGGGGUGAAAGGCCAAUCAAACCGGGAGAUAGCUGGUUCUCCCCGAAAGCUAUUUAGGUAGCGCCUCGUGAAUUCAUCUCCGGGGGUAGAGCACUGUUUCGGCAAGGGGGUCAUCCCGACUUACCAACCCGAUGCAAACUGCGAAUACCGGAGAAUGUUAUCACGGGAGACACACGGCGGGUGCUAACGUCCGUCGUGAAGAGGGAAACAACCCAGACCGCCAGCUAAGGUCCCAAAGUCAUGGUUAAGUGGGAAACGAUGUGGGAAGGCCCAGACAGCCAGGAUGUUGGCUUAGAAGCAGCCAUCAUUUAAAGAAAGCGUAAUAGCUCACUGGUCGAGUCGGCCUGCGCGGAAGAUGUAACGGGGCUAAACCAUGCACCGAAGCUGCGGCAGCGACGCUUAUGCGUUGUUGGGUAGGGGAGCGUUCUGUAAGCCUGUGAAGGUGUGCUGUGAGGCAUGCUGGAGGUAUCAGAAGUGCGAAUGCUGACAUAAGUAACGAUAAAGCGGGUGAAAAGCCCGCUCGCCGGAAGACCAAGGGUUCCUGUCCAACGUUAAUCGGGGCAGGGUGAGUCGACCCCUAAGGCGAGGCCGAAAGGCGUAGUCGAUGGGAAACAGGUUAAUAUUCCUGUACUUGGUGUUACUGCGAAGGGGGGACGGAGAAGGCUAUGUUGGCCGGGCGACGGUUGUCCCGGUUUAAGCGUGUAGGCUGGUUUUCCAGGCAAAUCCGGAAAAUCAAGGCUGAGGCGUGAUGACGAGGCACUACGGUGCUGAAGCAACAAAUGCCCUGCUUCCAGGAAAAGCCUCUAAGCAUCAGGUAACAUCAAAUCGUACCCCAAACCGACACAGGUGGUCAGGUAGAGAAUACCAAGGCGCUUGAGAGAACUCGGGUGAAGGAACUAGGCAAAAUGGUGCCGUAACUUCGGGAGAAGGCACGCUGAUAUGUAGGUGAAGUCCCUUGCGGAUGGAGCUGAAAUCAGUCGAAGAUACCAGCUGGCUGCAACUGUUUAUUAAAAACACAGCACUGUGCAAACACGAAAGUGGACGUAUACGGUGUGACGCCUGCCCGGUGCCGGAAGGUUAAUUGAUGGGGUCAGCGCAAGCGAAGCUCUUGAUCGAAGCCCCGGUAAACGGCGGCCGUAACUAUAACGGUCCUAAGGUAGCGAAAUUCCUUGUCGGGUAAGUUCCGACCUGCACGAAUGGCGUAAUGAUGGCCAGGCUGUCUCCACCCGAGACUCAGUGAAAUUGAACUCGCUGUGAAGAUGCAGUGUACCCGCGGCAAGACGGAAAGACCCCGUGAACCUUUACUAUAGCUUGACACUGAACAUUGAGCCUUGAUGUGUAGGAUAGGUGGGAGGCUUAGAAGUGUGGACGCCAGUCUGCAUGGAGCCGACCUUGAAAUACCACCCUUUAAUGUUUGAUGUUCUAACGUUGACCCGUAAUCCGGGUUGCGGACAGUGUCUGGUGGGUAGUUUGACUGGGGCGGUCUCCUCCUAAAGAGUAACGGAGGAGCACGAAGGUUGGCUAAUCCUGGUCGGACAUCAGGAGGUUAGUGCAAUGGCAUAAGCCAGCUUGACUGCGAGCGUGACGGCGCGAGCAGGUGCGAAAGCAGGUCAUAGUGAUCCGGUGGUUCUGAAUGGAAGGGCCAUCGCUCAACGGAUAAAAGGUACUCCGGGGAUAACAGGCUGAUACCGCCCAAGAGUUCAUAUCGACGGCGGUGUUUGGCACCUCGAUGUCGGCUCAUCACAUCCUGGGGCUGAAGUAGGUCCCAAGGGUAUGGCUGUUCGCCAUUUAAAGUGGUACGCGAGCUGGGUUUAGAACGUCGUGAGACAGUUCGGUCCCUAUCUGCCGUGGGCGCUGGAGAACUGAGGGGGGCUGCUCCUAGUACGAGAGGACCGGAGUGGACGCAUCACUGGUGUUCGGGUUGUCAUGCCAAUGGCACUGCCCGGUAGCUAAAUGCGGAAGAGAUAAGUGCUGAAAGCAUCUAAGCACGAAACUUGCC